AUUGAACGCUGGCGGCAGGCCUAACACAUGCAAGUCGAGCGGAUGAAGGGAGCUUGCUCCUGGAUUCAGCGGCGGACGGGUGAGUAAUGCCUAGGAAUCUGCCUGGUAGUGGGGAUAACGUCCGGAAACGGGCGCUAAUACCGCAUACGUCCUGAGGGAGAAAGUGGGGGAUCUUCGGACCUCACGCUAUCAGAUGAGCCUAGGUCGGAUUAGCUAGUUGGUGGGGUAAAGGCCUACCAAGGCGACGAUCCGUAACUGGUCUGAGAGGAUGAUCAGUCACACUGGAACUGAGACACGGUCCAGACUCCUACGGGAGGCAGCAGUGGGGAAUAUUGGACAAUGGGCGAAAGCCUGAUCUAGCCAUGCCGCGUGUGUGAAGAAGGUCUUCGGAUUGUAAAGCACUUUAAGUUGGGAGGAAGGGCAGUAAGUUAAUACCUUGCUGUUUUGACGUUACCAACAGAAUAAGCACCGGCUAACUUCGUG
rnacentral:rRNA from 1 species